AUUAUCUCAGUAUUCACCAUUUUUUUUUUUUAUUAUUUUUUAUUUUUUUAUAGGCCAUAUUUCAAUAUUAGAUUAAAAGCAGAAGUUAUAUUUUUAAACUCGUUAGCACUUAUGUGUGCAGGAGGACUAAUUUUUUUGUUUAUUUAUGUAAAAAAGAAAAAAAAAAAAAAAAAAAUAAAAUAAAUAAUCAAAUAUAUAUAACUUAAAAUGAUCAAUAUAUACAAAUACAAAAAUAAAUGGAUAUGUUUUUGAUAAAAAUAAAAUAAGCAUAAAAAUAUAUGUGUAUAUAUGCAUAGAAUAGACAGGAAAUUAUUACCUAAAAAUAUUAUAAAAUAUUUACUCAAUAGAUAUCAUAUGGACUCGUGCGAACAAAACAUAAACCAGAUUACUCCUUAUUAUAAAUUAUUAAAACAACAAUCACUUUACCCUUCAAAAAUAAAUUAUUUCCUUUAUAAAACCACAUUCCCGAAUAAACACGAACAAUUAUUCCUAUUUUGGGGCAAUGGACCAGCUAUACUAAAUUUUAUUUUUCAAACACUAUGUUUUUGUUUCUUAAUCAUAUUGUCUUGCUGGAUGUUUUUAUUAAAAGUAGAUAAUAUAACAUGGUUACAAUUAUAUAAAUACGGUAGUUUAAUUAUAUGUGGAUGUAUAUUAUUUUUUACAUUUAUAUUAAAAUAUAUUGUGUAUUAUUUUAUAAUGAUAAGUAAAACGGGUUAUUUAAUUGACACGAAGUUGUUAGAAAAGGUAUGGGAAUUUGAAAGAUCAGAUAACAUAAAGAGAAUAUCCGAAUUUAUUGAUGCUAUAAAAAUAAAGUCCACCUUACAUGCACUUAAAGAAGGAGGGGAUGUAUUUUGGAGACAGUUGUUAAUAAAAUCAAGCACAGUGCCAUCAAAUAUACAGGAAAAAAUGUUUUCCAUAUGGGUUAGUUUAGAUGAGGAAAAUAGAGGUGUUAUUGAUUCUGUAAAAAUAUUAAAAUUUUUAAAAUCUCAGGGAAUUAAUUUGAAUUCAGAAAAUGAUGUUAAAGUAAGAUAUAUUUUUUUUUAUUUUUUAUGGCAAAAAAAAAAAAAAAAAAAAAAAAAAAAAAAAAAAAAAAAAAAAAAAAUGCUAGUAUGGCACACCUUUUCAUUUUGCUACAUCUGAAUAAACAUAAUUUUUUUUUAGGAAUUCUUGGAAGUAUUUGAUAGAAAUAACAAAAAAGGUUUAAAUCAGGAAGAGUUUUUUGUUCUUAUUAUUAUAGUUAAACAAAUUCUUGUAGAACUUUUAGAUAUUAAUGCUGUUCAGGUGAAAAUAAUAUUUAUAUAUACUAAUACGGACAAAGUCAAUUUUUCAAAAACUGUGGUUAUAUAUAUAUAUAUAUAUAUAUAUUUUUUUUUUUUAAUUUAUCUUUUGUAGUCUUUAUUCGAAGAAGUGUACUGCAUACCAUGGAAUUCGAUGUCGUCAAUUGACGUUAACAGUUUAAAAAAAAUAUUAUCCGAAGUAAGAAAAAGGAAAAAUUAUAGAAGCAACAUAUUAAUUAAACUUUACAAGUUUAUUUAAAUUAUUUGUAAUCUAUAAGUUUACCUUUUUCAAUUUAUUUUGUAAUUUUGUAAUUUAAAAUUCUUUUUUCUUUUUUUUUUUUAGUUAAACUUACAUUGGCCUUAUGGAAAAAUUCGUAAUCUAAUUGAUUUUGUAUGCGAAAAUAAAAAAACAAAAUAUGUAAGUGCA
ensembl:lncRNA